GACGAACGCUGGCGGCGUGCUUAACACAUGCAAGUCGAACGGUGAACGAGGGAGCUUGCUCCCUCCGGAUCAGUGGCGAACGGGUGAGUAACACGUGAGCAAUCUGCCCCGAACUCUGGGAUAAGCGUUGGAAACGACGUCUAAUACCGGAUACGACGCGGGAGGGCAUCCUCUCCGCGUGGAAAGAACUUCGGUUCGGGAUGAGCUCGCGGCCUAUCAGCUUGUUGGUGAGGUAACGGCUCACCAAGGCGACGACGGGUAGCCGGCCUGAGAGGGUGACGGCCCAAACGGGGACUGAGACCCGGCCCAGACCCCUCGGGGGGGGAGGGGUGGGGAAUUUUGCCAAAGGGGCGAAAGCCUGGUGCAGCAACCCCGGGGGGGGGACGACGGCCUUGGGGUUGGAAACCCUUUUUAGCGGGGAAGAAGGGAAAGGGAGGGAACCGGCAAAAAAAGCCCCGGCUAACUAGGG
rnacentral:rRNA from 1 species